rnacentral:rRNA from 1 species
CAACCUGCCGAUGACUCGGGGAUAGCCUUUCGAAAGAAAGAUUAAUACCCGAUGGCAUAGUUCUUCCGCAUGGUGGAACUAUUAAAGAAUUUCGGUCAUCGAUGGGGAUGCGUUCCAUUAGGUUGUUGGCGGGGUAACGGCCCACCAAGCCUUCGAUGGAUAGGGGUUCUGAGAGGAAGGCCCCCCACAUUGGAACUGAGACACGGUCCAAACUCCUACGGGAGGCAGCAGUGAGGAAUAUUGGUCAAUGGACGAGAGUCUGAACCAGCCAAGUAGCGUGAAGGAUGACUGCCCUAUGGGUUGUAAACUUCUUUUAUACGGGAAUAAAGUGAGGCACGUGUGCCUUUUUGUAUGUACCGUAUGAAUAAGGAUCGGCUAACUCCGUGCCAGCAGCCGCGGUAAUACGGAGGAUCCGAGCGUUAUCCGGAUUUAUUGGGUUUAAAGGGAGCGUAGGCGGACGCUUAAGUCAGUUGUGAAAGUUUGCGGCCCAACCGUAAAAUUGCAGUUGAUACUGGGUGUCUUGAGUACAGUAGAGGCAGGCGGAAUUCGUGGUGUAGCGGUGAAAUGCUUAGAUAUCACGAAGAACUCCGAUUG